UUUGUGAUGUGAGAGUAGUGGGAAAGUAGUUGGGCAAAGGAUUCGAGUUGAUAUUGUUGUAGUUGUAGUAUUGUAGUUGCUGUUGUUAUAUGUAUUGUUGCUGUUGUUGUUG